GUAGCCUAGAGGCAACAGUGGAUGCCAUUCUCUCAGGUCGUUUACCAAAUGUUGAAGUUCGCAAGAUGAAUUCUCAGGGGUUGAAGGAUAUGGUACAAAUGGAACCUUCUAUUGACACAUCUGUUGAGAAGAAAGAUGAGAUUUUGUUUGAAGAACUCCAGAUGAAAGAUGAAAGGAUUGCAAGUAAUGAGUUCAUUUCUGCAUCUCCUCUAAAUGAGGGCGAGAAUUCUUUAGAAGAUGAAAC
rnacentral:misc_RNA from 1 species